CGACAACUAAAUGAUGAAGUUACUUGAUGGGCCAAAAAGAAUCUGUAUAUGUGCUCUAUUUGUGUUCAUACUUUAGAACAUUUGGGGCCAUGGUUUCAGCAAAUCAGUAUUUGGCCCUCAGACAGGUAUACUGUGUGACCAGCUGUCAGGUACCUCAAGUCUCUCAAGGUUGAAGUGCAAAAAAUUGGAGUUGGAAACCUGUAGAAUUAAGCUUGAAUCUUUGUUGCGGUAACAAUGAUUGAACCUCCUAGUUUUACCAUUAGUAUACGUUCAUCCUCUCUCUCUCUCUGAGCAGGUUGGCUGUACAAAAGGUGAUGAUGCUGGUCUUUCAAAUGCGCACAUGAUUAUGGCAAAGAUUCCAAAUGCUUCAGAAGCGAUGGUAUAGGUGCCUGACUUGGGGUGAAAAAAUAAAUUUCUAGCAGUAUGGUGGUUCUUGCUUUAUGUAGGAAGGGUAAUAUUUGAUGUGUAUUAUUAAUACUCUGUUCAACUCUGGAAAUUUGGAGACAUUGAUUAGAAAAUCUAGACAUGAAUGCUUGUUGCUUUGUGUCUGGCCCAAUGAAUAUGAAGGCAUAAUUAUUUCUUGGCUAAACACAACUUUUAAGGUCGUAAUCUGACCCAAUGACAAAUGUUAUCUGUCCUAAUUUAUGGUAUUGAUUUGAGUAGUGGAAAUCAUUAUAACUUCUUCCCAACCCUAUUUGCCUUAGGCACUAUUACUUUUUAUUAUUCAACUGUUAAUUUCACUUUUA